GAGGGAGACAGCCUGUCAUGGAGGUUGUGGGAAAAUCCUUCUUCCUCCCCAACACUAACCCUGAUUAGCUGUGUCUUCACCACGAAACUGCAGGGGUGUGUGCGGUUCUGGAGCCUGGGAAGUCCAAGAGCAAAGCACCAGCUGAUUCAAUGCCUGGUGAGGGCCUGUUUCCUAGUGUGUGGCCGGUCAUCUUCUUCCUGUGUUCUCACGUGGCAGAAGAGCCCUGGGCCCGAGACCCCAAAGGUGGAAGGAGGCCGGCGCUCCUGCUCCCUGCUCACAGCUCUCAGCUUGGCUCAGAAGGCGCGGGAAAUGGGCAGACAGCACGGAUAAAAACGCCAACUCCACCCAAAUGACUCAA